rnacentral:rRNA from 1 species
GACGAACGCUGGCGGCGUGCUUAACACAUGCAAGUCGAGCGGUAAGGCCCUUUCGGGGGUACACGAGCGGCGAACGGGCGAGUAACACGUGGGUGACCUGCCCUCAGCUCUGGGAUAAGCCUGGGAAACUGGGUCUAAUACCGGAUAUGACUCCAUGACGCAUGUUGUGGGGUGGAAAGCCUUGUGCGGCUGAGGAUGGGCCCGCGGCCUAUCAGCUUGUUGGUGGGGUGANGGCCUACCAAGGCGACGACGGGUAGCCGGCCUGAGAGGGCGACCGGCCACACUGGGACUGAGACACGGCCCAGACUCCUACGGGAGGCAGCAGUGGGGAAUCUUGCGCAAUGGGCGAAAGCCUGACGCAGCGACGCCGCGUGAGGGAUGACGGCCUCGGUU